rnacentral:hammerhead_ribozyme from 1 species
AUCCAGCUGAUUAGUCCCAAAUAGGAUGAAACGCGCAUCCUGGAU